rnacentral:SRP_RNA from 1 species
GCCGGGUAUGGUAGGGAACCCCUUGUAAUCCUUGCUACCUGGGAGUCUGAUGUUGGUGGAUUUACUUGAGCUCAAGAGCUCUGUUGUAUUGUAGGCCUAAAGCAGAUCAGGUGUCCACACUAAGUUGGACAACAAUAUAGUGAGCUCCCGGGAUUAAGAGGCCACUAGGUUCCCUAAGGAGGAGUGAACCAGCCCAGGUUGGAAAUGGAGCAGGUCAAAGUUUCUCUGCCAAUCGGUAAAAGGCUCAUCCUUUCAGCCUCAUUGACAUAGGAAGACCCAGCCUAA